UACGAGGGGGGCAAAUGUUGCUCGGAAUCACUGGGCGUAAAGGGAGCGUAGGCGGGUGUUUAAGUUAGGUGUUUAAUCCUGGGGCCCAACCCCAGUCGUGCACCUAAAACUGGACAUCUUGAAUAGUGGAGAGGUCAGUGGAAUUGGGGGUGUAGCGGUGGAAUGCGUAGAGAUCCCCAAGAACACCAGUUGCGAAGGCGGCUGACUGGACACAUAUUGACGCUGAGGCUCGAAAGCAUGGGGAGCAAACAGG
rnacentral:rRNA from 1 species